rnacentral:lncRNA from 10 species
CGAAUCCUGCCUGGGUUUCUCUCACUGCCUGCCUUGGUGAUCUUGGUUACUUAAAGGCUCUAAGCUUGAGUUUUCUCAUCCAUCAAAACACACACCUAGUUAAUAGAGUGGAUACAACCUUGCUGAAGAUGAAGAAUAUACAAUAUUGAGGAUAUUUUUUUCUUUUUUUUUUCAAGUCUUGAUUUGUGGCUUACCUCAAGUUACCAUUUUUCAGUCAAGUCUGUUUGUUUGCUUCUUCAGAAAUGUUUUUUACAAUCUCAAGAAAAAAUAUGUCCCAGAAAUUGAGUUUACUGUUGCUUGUAUUUGGACUCAUUUGGGGAUUGAUGUUACUGCACUAUACUUUUCAACAACCAAGACAUCAAAGCAGUGUCAAGUUACGUGAGCAAAUACUAGACUUAAGCAAAAGAUAUGUUAAAGCUCUAGCAGAGGAAAAUA